UCUUCUUUUUUUUUCUUUUUCUCUUUUUCUUUUUUUUUUUUUAAUUUUUUUAUUUUAUUGCUAUCUAUCUACUGAGAAAUAAGAAGCCAAAAAAUCAAGCAAGCAUCCGAUAGGACAGACAGUGGAAUCUCUCAGAACACAAUAUGCUGGUGAUAAAAUGCAUGCAGCCAUCAAAAUCAACUGCACUGGCAUGGGGGUGGAAUCGGUUUUCUAAGAUUGGGAGUGGGAAAGGAGAUUAAAUAGUUCGGUGUGCCAUACCUUUAAGAGGAGUCAUGAAUGCCAAACAGUAAUAGAAUACCAAAUCUAUACAUUCACAAGCAAACUCCAAACUUUGCUGAUUCAGUCUUGAGACUCCAAGUUCAGAUGAAAUUCUGAUGCUCAGAAUAGCUGUAGUUUACUCUUGUGGCUUUUUUCUUUCCUGAAGUUUCUAUUUAAUUUAGCAGAAGCAAUGUCAUCAGCAACAAUGUCAUGGGCACAUCUGAGGCCAUGCUAGUGCAUAGUAAAAAAAAGAAAAAAAAAUAAAGAAACAACCAACCCACUGCUUCUGCAAAAGCUGAAUUCCCAAACGAAGCACUUACUCUGGACUGACAACCAUCAUGCAUCCUAGGUAUAAAAUUUCCACUGGCCUUUUUAUUGUUUUAGUCAUCUCACAAUUUAUAAUAAAUAGGAUAAUUGUAACUGAUAAAUAUGUCUCUUUAGUAAACAAAGGAAUGAAGGAUCGGUAUUUAUACAGGAUGCAUAACUGUAAAAAAUAUAGAUAAAUUCCAUCGUUAAACUCUGCCAAUGAAAAGAUUACUGGCUUCAAGAACAGCGUUUAGACACAGAAUUACUGUAAAAAUCAUACUGUACUUAGUACCUCAGCAUAUUUUUUUCAAAUUAAAAUCACAAAAAUUAAAUAAAAUAGCAUUUUAAAAAGAUUUUUGACCUCUAGUUCCAAAACUACUGUUGAUACAUAAAAUAAAAACAUUUCUUAAUGAUUACCCAUUUGAGAGACUUCACAUAAAAUUAUGAUAUCUCCUAGAAAAAUUUAGAUGAGAAAAUUUCAUUCCCCUAACAAAUUCAGUGUAUAAAACUGCAAAAGAAAAUCAAGCAAUGAGAAAAA
rnacentral:lncRNA from 1 species